rnacentral:rRNA from 1 species
UUUGACGUUAGCGACAGAAGAAGCACCGGCUAACUCCGUGCCAGCAGCCGCGGUAAUACGGAGGGUGCGAGCGUUAAUCGGAAUUACUGGGCGUAAAGCGCAUGCAGGUGGUUUGUUAAGUCAGAUGUGAAAGCCCGGGGCUCAACCUCGGAAUWGCAUUUGAAACUGGCAGACUAGAGUACUGUAGAGGGGGGUAGAAUUUCAGGUGUAGCGGUGAAAUGCGUAGAGAUCUGAAGGAAUACCGGUGGCGAAGGCGGCCCCCUGGACAGAUACUGACACUCAGAUGCGAAAGCGUGGGGAGCAAACAGGAUUAGAUACCCUGGUAGUCCACGCCGUAAACGAUGUCUACUUGGAGGUUGUGGCCUUGAGCCGUGGCUUUCGGAGCUAACGCGUUAAGUAGACCGCCUGGGGAGUACGGUCGCAAGAUUAAAACUCAAAUGAAUUGACGGGGGCCCGCACAAGCGGUGGAGCAUGUGGUUUAAUUCGAUGCAACGCGAAGAACCUUACCUACUCUUGACAUCCAGAGAACUUUCCAGAGAUGGAUUGGUGCCUUCGGGAACUCUGAGACAGGUGCUGCAUGGCUGUCGUCAGCUCGUGUUGUGAAAUGUUGGGUUAAGUCCCGCAACGAGCGCAACCCUUAUCCUUGUUUGCCAGCGAGUAAUGUCGGGAACUCCAGGGAGACUGCCGGUGAUAAACCGGAGGAAGGUGGGGACGACGUCAAGUCAUCAUGGCCCUUACGAGUAGGGCUACACACGUGCUACAAUGGCGCAUACAGAGGGCGGCCAACUUGCGAAAGUGAGCGAAUCCCAAAAAGUGCGUCGUAGUCCGGAUUGGAGUCUGCAACUCGACUCCAUGAAGUCGGAAUCGCUAGUAAUCGUGGAUCAGAAUGCCACGGUGAAUACGUUCCCGGGCCUUGUACACACCGCCCGUCACACCAUGGGAGUGGGCUGCAAAAGAAGUAGGUAGUUUAACCUUCGGGGGGACGCUUACCACUUUGUGGUUCAUGACUGGGGUGAAGUCGUAACAAGGUAGCG